AGACCCGAAACCCGGUGAUCUAGCCAUGGGCAGGUUGAAGGUUGGGUAACACUAACUGGAGGACCGAACCGACUAAUGUUGAAAAAUUAGCGGAUGACCUGUGGCUGGGGGUGAAAGGCCAAUCAAACCGGGAGAUAGCUGGUUCUCCCCGAAAGCUAUUUAGGUAGCGCCUCGUGAAUUCAUCUCCGGGGGUAGAGCACUGUUUCGGCUAGGGGGCCAUCCCGGCUUACCAACCCGAUGCAAACUGCGAAUACCGGAGAAUGUUAUCACGGGAGACACACGGCGGGUGCUAACGUCCGUCGUGAAGAGGGAAACAACCCAGACCGCCAGCUAAGGUCCCAAAGUCAUGGUUAAGUGGGAAACGAUGUGGGAAGGCCCAGACAGCCAGGAUGUUGGCUUAGAAGCAGCCAUCAUUUAAAGAAAGCGUAAUAGCUCACUGGUCGAGUCGGCCUGCGCGGAAGAUGUAACGGGGCUAAACCAUGCACCGAAGCUGCGGCAGCGAACGUAUCACUUAAAGCGAUUCAGCGGGUUACGAUUGACGGAGCGAAGCGACGUCAAAGCGUAUACAAAGUCGAGUCGGUUUAAGGAUACGUUCGUUGGGUAGGGGAGCGUUCUGUAAGCCUGUGAAGGUGGCCUGUGAGGGUUGCUGGAGGUAUCAGAAGUGCGAAUGCUGACAUAAGUAACGAUAAAGCGGGUGAAAAGCCCGCUCGCCGGAAGACCAAGGGUUCCUGUCCAACGUUAAUCGGGGCAGGGUGAGUCGACCCCUAAGGCGAGGCCGAAAGGCGUAGUCGAUGGGAAACAGGUUAAUAUUCCUGUACUUGGUGUUACUGCGAAGGGGGGAC
rnacentral:rRNA from 1 species